GGAGCAUCAUUUAAUUUAGUUUUAUUUAGCCAAGAAAUGGAUUUUAAGAAUAAGCGGUGGUCUGAGGAGGAGACCGGGGCUUCCUGGUGCUGUGGUCUGCAGCAGAAGUUCAGGAGAACUUGGUGGAGCAGCACAGACCCAGUUUGGAUCCAACGGGAGUGAAGCAGCUGCUGCAUGACUCCGUAUCCUGAGUUGUUGGAUCGCAGUUGACCGGAGCGUCGCUGCAGCUCAUCAGCCCCAUAAGCUCACUGGUUCACCAGCAGUUCACCGGUCCUCCUGCAGCCGACCGGUACCGUCCUGCAGGACGUCUGGAUCGGCGUCCUCCCAGACCAGACCAGACCCACAAAACGAAGCGCGGUUCUGACGGCGGUCCGGUGGAGCAUUCGGACCUGCAGCAGCUGGAGCGGCCAGCAGGGGGAGCUAAACAACAUGAACAGACUGGACUGCUUCCCUUCGUAUAAAUAUAAUUUAUCUUUGGUGUUUUUCCG